UACGGAGGGUGCAAGCGUUAGUCGGAAUUACUGGGCGUAAAGGGUGCGUAGGUGGGAAUAUAAGUCGAAUGUGAAAUUCCGGGGCUUAACCUCGGAGCUGCAUUCGAAACUGUAUUCCUAGUCGGAUGGCGGAGAAAAUGGAAUUCCACGUGUAGCGGUGAAAUGCGUAGAUAUGUGGAAGAACACCUGUGGCGAAAGCGGUUUUCUAGCCUACCCGAGACACUGAGGCACGAAAGUAAGGGGAGCAAACAGG
rnacentral:rRNA from 1 species